rnacentral:rRNA from 1 species
UACGUAGGGUGCAAGCGUUGUCCGGAAUUAUUGGGCGUAAAGGGCUCGUAGGCGGUCUGUUGCGUCGGCUGUGAAAACCCGGGGCUCAACUCCGGGCCUGCAGCCGAUACGGGCAGACUAGAGUUCGGCAGGGGAGACUGGAAUUCCUGGUGUAGCGGUGAAAUGCGCAGAUAUCAGGAGGAACACCGGUGGCGAAGGCGGGUCUCUGGGCCGAUACUGACGCUGAGGAGCGAAAGCGUGGGGAGCAAACAGG